AACCAAAUCGGUGCCAAAUUGGUGAAACGGCACUGGUUUGAACCGGUGGAAAUUCAUUAAUGUAAAAAAAAAACGCCCCUUUUGUUUCUUUCUCUUUCCUCAAUCUCAAGUUCUCUCUUUCCCUUUUUUCUCCUGUCUCCUCAACUAAGAUCUCCCUCUUCUCUCUCUCUUCCCUCUCUCCUCAACUAGAUCUAGGGUUUUUGAUUUCUACUCCACCUCACCCUCGUACAUCUGUUUUUUCGGUGGCCGUCCCUAUCAAGUCCGAAACAAGGUUCUCUAUUCCGGCGGCUUCAACAGUUCAACACAGUUGGUAGUACUGUAGCAUCGUUUAUUCUAGUGGCUGUCGGAAAUGUUAUCUAUAUUGAAGCGAACAAUGGGGCAGUUAAGUGGGUGGGAAUAAGUGAUGCUUUUCCCACAGAGUUCGACCUUGAGGCAAAGGAGUCUUUCCCACUUCCUAAAGGAGAAGUUCACAAAAAAAAAAAAAAAAAGGAAAUUGUGCAGGUACUUGGAGAAUCACCUUUGCAAAGGAAUCAAGUUGGGACCUUAAUGACCAAGCAAGGAAGAAGCAUUUGGCUAUAGAGGGCUUAGAGAGGCCUUAGAGAGGCCUCGGAGAGGUCUCCAAGGAAUUGCCAGCAGGCCGCGGGCGCGGGUUAGUGAAGCCGCGGGCGCGGGCUCAAGAAGCACAAAUGGCAGAUUUUGGCAAGAACUUCCCGCGGUUGCCCCGCGAUCUCUCCGCAGGCGCGAGAAACUUGGAGAGGGCGCUCCGUCUCAGAGAGACCGCGGGCCCCUGAUUGAGUUUUGGGAGCAGGGGAUUAGCCGCGGUUGCCUCGCGGGCUCGGGUUUAUAUUGCCGCGGGCGCGGGUGUUGCCCAGAUAGCCCCCGGAGGGUUCCGUACCCAUUUCUCCGUGGCCGCGGGUUCAUCGGGAGCGGGCGCGGUAUUUGCCGAUUUCUUCUUUACUUAUAAAUAGAAUUGUAAUUCCUUUUUGAAAGAAACUUUUUGAUAAUAUUUCAUUAGCUUAGUUUUAGAGAGUGAAUU